rnacentral:rRNA from 1 species
CCUACGGGAGGCAGCAGUGAGGAAUAUUGGACAAUGGGCGCAAGCCUGAUCCAGCCAUGCCGCGUGCAGGAUGACGGUCCUAUGGAUUGUAAACUGCUUUUGUACAGGAAGAAACCCUUUCACGUGUGAAAGAUUGACGGUACUGUAAGAAUAAGGAUCGGCUAACUCCGUGCCAGCAGCCGCGGUAAUACGGAGGAUCCAAGCGUUAUCCGGAAUCAUUGGGUUUAAAGGGUCCGUAGGCGGUCAGAUAAGUCAGUGGUGAAAGCCCAUCGCUCAACGGUGGAACGGCCAUUGAUACUGUCUGACUUGAAUUAUUAGGAAGUAACUAGAAUAUGUAGUGUAGCGGUGAAAUGCUUAGAGAUUACAUGGAAUACCAAUUGCGAAGGCAGGUUACUACUAAUGGAUUGACGCUGAUGGACGAAAGCGUGGGUAGCGAACAGGAUUAGAUACCCUGGUAGUCCACGCCGUAAACGAUGGAUACUAGCUGUUGGGAGCAAUCUCAGUGGCUAAGCGAAAAGUGAUAAGUAUCCCACCUGGGGAGUACGUUCGCAAGAAAUGAAAACUCAAAGGAAUUGACGGCUGAGAGNGCGAGACGACGACGAGGGAGGAG